rnacentral:lncRNA from 1 species
UGCAAUGUUACGUAGAUGGAAAAAAGCUGUCCUUGAAACAGUCUUGAUAUGUUCUUCAAAAAGAGAGAUCAGGGUCCAGAGUAACGCCGAGGUCCUUCACAGUUUUAUUUGAGACGACUGUACAACCAUCCAGAUUAAUUGUCAGAUUCAACAGAAGAUCUCUUUGUUUCUUGGGACCUAGAACAAGCAUCUCUGUUUUGUCCGAGUUUAAAAGUAGAAAGUUUGCAGCCAUCCACUUCUUUAUGUCUGAAACACAGGCUUCUAGCGAGGGCAAUUUUGGGGCUUCACCAUGUUUCAUUGAAAUGUACAGCUGUGUGUCGUCUGCAUAGCAGUGAAAUUUAACAUUAUGUUUUCGAAUGACAUCCCCAAGAGGUAAAAUAUAUAGUGAAAACAAUAGUGGUCCUAAAACGGAACCUUGAGGAACACCGAAAUUUACAAUUGAUUUGUCAGAGGACAAACCAUUCACAGAGACAAACUGAUAUCUUUCCGACAGAUAAGAUCUAAACCAGGCCAGAACUUGUCCAUGUAGACCAAUUUGUGAAGCUGGUUGAGAGAAUGCCAAGAGUGUGCAAAGCUGUCAUCAAGGCAAAGGUUGGCAACUUUGUUUUGCUUACUACAUGAUUCCAUAUAUUCUACAAUGUAGAAAAUAGUAAAAAUAAAGAAAAACCCUGGAAUGACUGGUACUUGAAUGACUGGUAAUGUAAAUAUAUAUAUAUAUACUUUUUUAGGUGAAUUUUGUAUAGUUUUUUGUUAGAAUGUUUUUUUUCUUGGUAAUCAUGAGUACACACCACUGAAAAUGCAUUAUCGUCAUGAUUGCUGUAAUGAAAGAUUCUGCCCUGCCUUGUUCCUGUUUCUCUGGGGCCUGCUGAUGUGAUGAGCAAGGCACUCUCCUCCCCCCAAGCGCUAGAAAAAUGUGUUCUGAUUGUAUAACAUUUCAAAAUGCAAUUGCGGGAAAAACACGGCUUUGGAAGCUUUGUCUUCUUGUACCCUUCGAAGAGAGGAGGGUCUGCAUUUAACCUGUUUGGGAUAGUGGGCAGUAUUUUCACAGCCGGAUAAAAAACGUACCCGAUUUAAUCUGGUUACUACUCCUGCCCAGAAACUAGAAUAUGCAUAUAAUUAGUAGAUUUGGAUAGAAAACACUCUAAAGUUUCUAAAACUGUUUGAAUGGUGUCUGUGAGUAUAACAGAACUCAUAUGGCAGGCCAAAACCUGAGAAGAUUCUAUACAGGAAGUGCCCUGUCUGACAAUUUGUUCUCCUUCUAGGGCAUCUAUAUAAAAAAUACAGCAUCUCUGCUGUAACGUGACAUUUUCUAAGGCUUUCAUUGGCUCUCAGAAGGCGCCAGAAAGUGGAAUGAGAGCUCUCCAGUUUCUGGGCGAAAAACAGCAGGAGUUUUUGUGAGUGGUCCUGCUGAGAACAAUGACACUGGAGCGCGCGUGCACGAGACGACUCCAUGUUUUUCUUUCAGUGUUUGAACGAAUACAACGUUGCCUGUUUGGAAUAUUAUCGCUAUUUUAUGAGAAAAACAGCAUAAAAAUGUAUUUUAAACAGUGUUUGACAUGCUUCGAAGUACGGUAAUGGAAUAUUUGGAAUUUUUUUUGUUACGUAAUGCGCCGGCGCGUCACCCUUCGGAUAGUGACUUGAACGCACAAACAAAACGGAGCUAUUUGGAUAUAACUAUGGAUUAUUUCGAACCAAAACAACAUUUGUUGUUGAAGUAGAAGUCCUGGGAGUGCAUUCUGACAAAGAACAGCAAAGGUAAUCCAAUUUUUCUUAUAGUAAAUCUGAGAUUGGUGAGGGCCAAACUUGGCGGGUGUCAAAUUAGCUAGCUGUGAUGGCUGGCUAUGUACUCAGAAUAUUGCGAAAUGUGCUUUCGUCAAAAAGCUAUUUUAAAAUCUGACACCGCGAUUGCAUAAAGGAGUUCUGUAUCUAUAAUUCUUAAAAUAAUUAUGUAUUUUGUGAACGUUAAUCGUGAGUAAUUAAGUAAAGUCACCGGAAGUUUGCGGUGGGUAUGCAUGUAUUGUAUAACAUAAUGUCCUAGGAGUGUCAUCUGAUGAAGAUCAUCAAAGGUUAGUGCUGCAUUUAGCUGUGGUUUUUGUUUUUGUGACAUAUAUGCUUGCUUUGAAAAUGGCUGUGCGAUUAUUUUUGCGAGGGUACUCUCCUGACAUAAUCUAAUGUUUUGCUUUCGUUGUAAAGCCUUUUUGAAAUCGGACAAUGUGGUUAGAUAAAGGAGAGUCUUGUCUUUAAAAUGGUGUAAAAUAGUCAUAUGUUUGAGAAAUUGAAGUUUUUGCAUUUUUUAGGUAUUUGUAUUUCGCGCCACGCUAUACCAUUGGAUAUUGGUGAGGCGUAACAUUAAUAUGAUUAUUUGUACAUAACCAUGGGAAUUAAGUUUCACUUUUAAUUCUUGUAAGUAGGCAGUAUUUCCCUCAUAUGACGUGGCUGGCUUAUGUAAAGUCUGUGCUGGCUAGAGUAUAAAUACCUGUGCACUACAAGUUUGAGCAGGUGAUCUCCUUAUUGUCAUUGCUUCAGUGGACAACAUCAAGAAGCUCCUACAACACCUUGAAGAAAAUAACACCAUUUGCAGCUAAAUCAAGAUGGUAAUCUGGCAGUUCACCGUUGGAGAAAGAUCAAUUCAAUAUUCAUGAAUUUUCAGGGAGUUAUUUAGAUUUUCUGAAUUUGCUUAAACUAAUGUAAAAAACGAAAACUCUUCAAGUGAAAAUUAUAUAGUUGAUGAUGUACUGAGUUACACUAAUGUUUAUAUGACUCUUCUUCUCUCCUUUUUGAGUGUCUCUCACUCACCUCUGGCCGAAAGGGAGCGAACAGGCUGUAUGUUGCCUUAUAACAUACAAACCAAAACUGAUGGGUGAUGCCAUCGACCUAAUCCGUGGGUCAGUGACGCGGCCCAUGGUUAAUAACAGUCAAUGCUAAUCGUGGGUCAGUGACGCGGUCCAUGUCCAGAACAGUCAGCUUUCUCUUCUCUUCCGUCUUCUCAUAUAAAUUACAUACGUUUUGUGCACUUAUUGCAAGAAAUUGUAUAUCUAUUCAUAAAGUAGGCCAUUACCUUGUAUUUGUAAAAUCAAGUAACAUUCUACAAUUUCAUUUAAUUGAUAAGACAUCAAAUGUUUCCUUUAUAUACAUUUUAUGUAUGGAAACAUUUGAGGGCAAAAGUCAAUUACUAACUAUGAAUAAUUUGAGUAAACUAACUUAUGAAUAAUUUCCCCAGAAUUAUGAAGUGACAGAUGGUGUUUCCCCUGCAGCAAAGGACAAUGUGGAUGGAGAUUUUACAGAUCUCAUCAAAAACUUCCACCAUCUGAACAUGUAUGGAGAUGAGAAGAUGGACUGGGUUGAUCAGGAAAUUGGAGUGACCUGCUGUCAGGAGGAGGACCACAAUGAGGAAAUGGACUGGAUCACCUCAAGAAAUCCCAGCUUCUGCAUCUGGAGAGAAAGAAAAGAUGAGGAAGACAGCCUUUAAAUGAAGACAGCCUUUAAAUGAAGACAGACUUUAAAUGAAGACAGCCUUUAAAAUCUUCAUUAGCUACCCAUCUGUUGGGUGGCUUGGUCAUCAAAACAUUGGCGUAGUUCACACUCCUGUUGUACAACGCAUCUCACACAUCAGCUGUGAUACACUUUAAGGAUCCUUUAAAUGGGUUUGUCUCCAUACAAACAAAUUGGCAAUAGUUGUGUAAAGAUCAGUUGUAUCACCUCAGUGUGAACUAGGCCACUGUAGCCUAAAUAUGGCAUUGGUACCCUCUUAGGGUUUUGUAAAUACUGUACAGUAGGAUAUAUGGUUAUACAAUCUAGACUGACAUGUAAAUAUGUUGAGUAUCUAUUUAUUUUCUCACUCAUCUGUCGUUUGUUGGCCUCUUUAAUAUUCUGGUAAGUGGUAUAGGUGUAGCCAAAGAGGCUUUAGUAAGUGUAGAUGUAGAUGUUGAUAUAUACACUGAGUGUACAAAACAUUAAGAACACCUGUUUGUAUCAAGAACUUCAACGCUGCUGGGUAUUUCCAUGCAAAAAAAUGUCCCGUGUGUAUCAAGAAUGGUCCACCGCCCCAAACGACAUUCAGCCAAGUUGACACAGCUGUUGGAAGCAUUGGAGUCAACAUGGGCUAGCAUCUCUGUGGAAUGCUUUCGACGCCUUAUAGAGUCCAUGCCCCGAUUAAUUGACGGUGUUCUGAGGGCAAAACGGGGGAACUCAAUAUUAGGAAUGUGUCCCUAUUGUUUUGUACACUCAGUGUAAAUAUUACCCCACAGCAUUCACUCUUCCCAUUAGUCCUUGGAUGUAUUUUUGUGUAGCUAAUUCUCCUCAGAAAAGUACAUCUGCUGUCUAUUUGUUUGUAAAUAUUUAUGUGUUCAGUGUCUUGUCUCCUUGUCAAAUGAGUGUCUGUCAAUUUAGUUGUAUUUCUGUAUCACAUUAAGUUAUCCUUCGAACAGGGAAAGGGUGGUGCCUAGUGGGGGUGGAGGGGUAAAAUAAAUCAACACAAACUAUGAAGUACUGAUAUUCAUUGAUUUGCAUAAAAUGACUCUCAGACUGUAAAUUACAUUCUUAUUGGCAUUGAUUUUUUGUUGAUUUUAUUUGGCAAUUUUCAACAAUACAACUACCCUACACUACCCUUCAAAAGUUUGGGGUCACUUAGAAAUGUCCUUGUUUUCGUUGUACGAGAUCUUCAGUUUCUUGGCAACUUCUCGCAUGGAAUAGCCUCCAUUUCUCAGAACAAGAAUAGACUGACGAGUUUCAGAAGAAAGUUAUUCGUUUCUGGCCAUUUUGAGCCUGUAAUCGAACUCACAAAUGCUGAUGCUCCAGAUACUCAACUAGUCUAAAGAAGGCCAGUUUUAUUGCUUCUUUAAUCAGGACAAC